rnacentral:rRNA from 1 species
UACGUAGGGGGCUAGCGUUGUCCGGAUUUAUUGGGCGUAAAGAGCGUGUAGGCGGCCAGGUAGGUCGAGUGUGAAAACUCGAGGCUUAACCUCGAGAUGUCAUCGGAAACCAUCUGGCUAGAGUCCGGAAGAGGAAAGUGGAAUUCCUGGUGUAGCGGUGAAAUGCGCAGAUAUCAGGAAGAACACCAAUGGCGAAAGCAGCUUUCUGGGACGGUACUGA